AUGGAGUUUGUGCUGGGCUGGGUGUUCCUGGUUGCUCUUUUAAAAGGUGUCCAGUGUGACGUGCAGCUGGUGGAGUCUGGGGGAGACCUGGCUCCAGGGAAGGGGCUGCAGUGGGUCUCAGCAAUUAGUAGUGGAGGUAGCACAUACUACGCAGACUCCGUGAAGGGCCGAUUUACCACCUCCAGAGACAACGCCAAGAACACGCUGUAUCUGCAGAUGAACAACCUGAAGACUGAGGACACGGCCACAUGUUACUGUGUAGGAGACACGGUGGCCCCGAGGUGUAGGGUGCUGGUCACCCGGUACAGCCCUCUGUUCUGUCUGAUGGUCUAG